rnacentral:rRNA from 1 species
CCUACGGGAGGCAGCAGUGGGGAAUCUUGCGCAAUGGGCGAAAGCCUGACGCAGCAACGCCGCGUGCGGGAAGAAGGCUUUCGGGCUGUAAACCGCUUCCAGCAGGAACGAAAAUGACGGUACCUGCAGAAGAAGGAGCGGCCAACUAUGUGCCAGCAGCCGCGGUGAUACAUAGGCUUCAAGCGUUGUCCGGAUUUAUUGGGCGUAAAGAGUUCGUAGGCGGUCGAGUAAGUCGGGUGUGAAAAUUCUGGGCUCGACCCAGAGACGCCACCCGAUACUGCUUAACUUGAGUUCGAUAGGGGAGUGGGGAAUUCCUAGUGUAGCGGUGAAAUGCGCAGAUAUUAGGAGGAACACCGGUGGCGAAGGCGCCACUCUGGAUCGAUACUGACGCUGAGGAACGAAAGCAUGGGUAGCAAACAGGAUUAGAUACCCUGGUAGUCCAUGCCGUAAACGGUGGGCACUAGGUGUGGGAUUCUAUUAACGAAUUCCGCGCCGUCGCUAACGCAUUAAGUGCCCCGCCUGGGGAGUACGGUCGCAAGACUAAAACUCAAAUGAAUUGACGGCUUGAGACGUUGCGAGCGACGACGAGGGAGAGG